UUACAGUAUUAGCAGAUGAGAGUAAGAGAGAACAGAAACUGUUACCAUUCUGUUGCUCUCACCUUCCCUAUCCAUGAGAAUGAUCUUCAAACUAAGCCACAAAACAACAGAUUAACAAGGAACUGAAGCCUGAGAGAGAGUCACCAUAUGAGAGGUGAAGGAUGCUGGAAUCUCUUUGAAAGGCUCACCAGGUGAUUCUGUGGUUCAGCCAGGUGUGGGAAGAUUGCUAAUCUAAAACCAUACAUCCAAUUACGAAAGUAUGCGUUAUGGUUCAAAGAUGUCUCCAUCCUGAAGAACUAAUCACCUGCAAAGGAGGAAAAAUAUUCCACAUAAUUAGAAAAAAUUGGCAAAGCCCCAAUCUCUUAAGAAGAACUGGCUAUAUAAUUUGUGAGGCCUAAUCUAAAAUGAAAAUAUGGAGUUGUUCAAAAGUUAUGAAGACUUUCAAGAGGGCAACGGCAGAGCAUAAUCCAAGUGCAGAGCUUUUUCAUGUGCAGGGUCCUGCGCAGUUGCUCAGGCUGCAUGUCCAUACAGCCAGCCCUGCGCCGAAGGUAUGACAAGAGUCAACCUCUUGGCCAAUGUGAAGGAUGAGACACACC